rnacentral:tRNA from 1 species
CCUGGUGGCUCAGACGGUAAAGCGUCUGCCUGCAAUGCAGGAGACCCAGAUUCGAUUCCUGGGUCAGGA